AUACGAACUACACGAAUGUUCGCGAUUCGUCACGCGUGAACGAACUUAACCUCAUCGUGACCAAAGGUUGAACGAAACAUAACCUCUCCAAAAUGAUAUUCGGAAGAUAAUUUUUGUAAUUGCGAGUGAUCGAGAAAGUGUCGAAAGAAGAGACAUAUAGAUAGACAAACGGACAGAAAAACAGACAGAUAGAUAGAUAGAUAGUUAGAAAGACAGAUAGAUAAAGUUAUAGAGUGAGAAAGAAAAGAAAUAAAGAAGAAAUGAUACUGAGGCUAGUGGACUUGCCUUGGUACGACGUGAUCUACAGGCACAUCUUUAUUCGACUGGAUCUGCGGGACCUUUGUAACCUUCGAUGCCUCUCCUCAACAGAGUACCAAGUCCUGGUCGACAAUUACAUCGCCACAUGGGACACGUUGGACAUCUCUUCAUACACGGAUUUUGAGCCCAACUCCUUCGAAGUAUAGUCCAUAGGUGUUCGGUAGUAGCAAGGCUAUCGAGUCCUACAUCACACAUCAUAUUACAAUAUGCAUAAUAGUUCGAAACAUUCCCUUCUGGCGCGUCGUUCGUUAUUUUGUUUUGUUUUGUUUCGCUUCGCUUUUUUUAUAUAUAUUUUUUAUUACUUUUUGUUUUCGUUCAUUUCGCUUUGUUUCGUAAUUUGGCAUUUUUUUUCUUUUUUUUUUUUCUUUUUUUUUCUUUUCUUUUUUUUUCUUUUUUUUUAUUUUUUUAUUUAUUUUUUUUUUUUUUACCGACGACGACACCCGACGACGAUGGCGGCGAAGACGAAGCCGGCAAGAGACAAGUUUUUUCCCGUCACGCGCGUGAAGGGGUAGUAGCAGUAGUAGCGUGGUAGUCGUGCCUGGUAUACAUACGUCCCGUACCUGCAGAUGCUUUUUAUUUAUAUAUUCAUUUAUGUAUUUAGUUAUUUAUUUAUUGAGAGGACAUCGAUGGCCAGUCACUCUUACGCGUGUAUGUACACGUAUACAAAUUAUUUUUUUUAUUUUUACUUUUUUUUUGUUUGGUCAUCCCGAUACUCUACACAUCUCGAUUCCGAUCCUAUGCGAUUCGCUUUCUUUCCGUUUGACUUUUUAUAUAUAUAUAUAUAUAUAUAAUCCGAAAUCCUUCAAUGAUUUUGCUUGUACAUUAUAUACAUAUAUAGGGAAUAGAUUGUGCUUAUUUAUUUAUCUUUUUUGUGUUUUCUAAUUUCGUCCGUUCACGCUCCGUGUUUCUAUGUACACGCUAUACAUAUGCAUUUUUGAUCUAUAUUUCUUUACUUUGUCAAGGGAUUCGUAAAAGGCUGCAAGAGGUUGCGACGUGUCGACCUUAGUAAUAGCUACUGGCUCGGAAGUUCUCAUCUCGUCGACCUUCUCGGUUCACAUCCCGGGCUCACGCAUUUGGACUUGACCGGUUGUAACGGACCGCAGAUGCGGUGCGACUUUAUCGAGAUAACCAAAUGUCGUAAUCUCACGUCUGUAAGGCUAAAAGGCUGCGACUGGGUCACCACAGAUUUCCUAUUGUCGUUAGUUCGGUACAACCGUAACCUUCGACGACUUGUAUUAGCCGAUUGUUAUCAAAUAUCCGACGAGGCUGUGGAGUCCAUGUUCGAGUUUCUCACAACAUUGACCGAUCUCAGCUUGGAGAAGACCGCCAUCACGGAUAAAAGUCUUCUGGCAAUGGUCGAACACGGUGUCACGGCGAUCGAGUAUCUCGACUUGCGUUAUUGCCACGGAAUCACCGAUUAUGGUCUGAUGCUACUGAGACCGUUACGAUCUAUGAAAAGACUUUGGAUCCUCGGUUGUCGUUCGAUUACCGAACGUGGUCUCGCGAGCUUUCGCGAGCGUAUGGAAAUCGAUCUUUCUCCGAGACCGAUCUGCGCGAUUCGACCUCCGUCCUUGCAAGUAUAACAUUUUUUCCGGCUCGUUUCUCUUCCUUCUCUUCUUUCGCGUGUAUUUUGGUCAUUAAGAUCCUCCUUUUUCCAAUGGGCGCUGUGCUGCAUUCUUUCGGCAUCGCGUAACACCGCGCCAACCGUAAAAUACAUUUAUAUUCAAAGAAGAUAUAAGUUAAACUGAGGAUGGAUACAUUUUUGCAACGAACAAUCACACGCAAAAUAGAAUAUUGAAUAGAAUAUUGAAAAUAGAAUAUUGUAAAAUGACCGUACGAUAACUUGUCAAACUAAAUAAUCGACGUUGCAUCUUUGGAUGCAUCCACAAUAUGGCGGACGACAUAUACAUUUAUCUUCAAUUUCAUAUCGAUCGAUUCACUUCGAUCGAAAUUUUCGUUCUAAUUAAGAAAUAGGAAAUAAUUAGAUAUGUAGAAGAGAGAAAAAGCGAGGAUCGCCAAGUAGAAUUUCAUGAAGAAAUUGUAAAGACGAUGAUGAUGAUGAUAAUAAUAAUGAUAAUAAUAAUGAUAAUGAUAAUGAUAAU